rnacentral:rRNA from 1 species
UUCACUUUAACACUGAGGCGUGAUGACGAGGCACUACGGUGCUGAAGCAACAAAUGCCCUGCUUCCAGGAAAAGCCUCUAAGCAUCAGGUAACAUCAAAUCGUACCCCAAACCGACACAGGUGGUCAGGUAGAGAAUACCAAGGCGCUUGAGAGAACUCGGGUGAAGGAACUAGGCAAAAUGGUGCCGUAACUUCGGGAGAAGGCACGCUGACACGUAGGUGAAGUGAUUUACUCACGGAGCUGAAGUCAGUCGAAGAUACCAGCUGGCUGCAACUGUUUAUUAAAAACACAGCACUGUGCAAACACGAAAGUGGACGUAUACGGUGUGACGCCUGCCCGGUGCCGGAAGGUUAAUUGAUGGGGUCAGCGCAAGCGAAGCUCCUGAUCGAAGCCCCGGUAAACGGCGGCCGUAACUAUAACGGUCCUAAGGUAGCGAAAUUCCUUGUCGGGUAAGUUCCGACCUGCACGAAUGGCGUAAUGAUGGCCAGGCUGUCUCCACCCGAGACUCAGUGAAAUUGAACUCGCUGUGAAGAUGCAGUGUACCCGCGGCAAGACGGAAAGACCCCGUGAACCUUUACUAUAGCUUGACACUGAACAUUGAGCCUUGAUGUGUAGGAUAGGUGGGAGGCUUUGAAGUGUGGACGCCAGUCUGCAUGGAGCCGACCUUGAAAUACCACCCUUUAAUGUUUGAUGUUCUAACGUGGACCCGUAAUCCGGGUUGCGGACAGUGUCUGGUGGGUAGUUUGACUGGGGCGGUCUCCUCCUAAAGAGUAACGGAGGAGCACGAAGGUUGGCUAAUCCUGGUCGGACAUCAGGAGGUUAGUGCAAUGGCAUAAGCCAGCUUGACUGCGAGCGUGACGGCGCGAGCAGGUGCGAAAGCAGGUCAUAGUGAUCCGGUGGUUCUGAAUGGAAGGGCCAUCGCUCAACGGAUAAAAGGUACUCCGGGGAUAACAGGCUGAUACCGCCCAAGAGUUCAUAUCGACGGCGGUGUUUGGCACCUCGAUGUCGGCUCAUCACAUCCUGGGGCUGAAGUAGGUCCCAAGGGUAUGGCUGUUCGCCAUUUAAAGUGGUACGCGAGCUGGGUUUAGAACGUCGUGAGACAGUUCGGUCCCUAUCUGCCGUGGGCGCUGGAGAACUGAGGGGGGCUGCUCCUAGUACGAGAGGACCGGAGUGGACGCAUCACUGGUGUUCGGGUUGUCAUGCCAAUGGCACUGCCCGGUAGCUAAAUGCGGAAGAGAUAAGUGCUGAAAGCAUCUAAGCACGAAACUUGCCCCGAGAUGAGUUCUCCCUGAGACUUAGAGUCUCCUGAAGGAACGUUGAAGACGACGACGUUGAUAGGCCGGGUGUGUAAGCGCAGCGAUGCGUUGAGCUAACCGGUACUAAUGAACCGUGAGGCUUAACCUUACAAC